rnacentral:rRNA from 1 species
ACGAACGCUGGCGGCGUGCUUAACACAUGCAAGUCGAACGGAAAGGCUCUGCUUUUGUGGGGUGCUCGAGUGGCGAACGGGUGAGUAACACGUGAGUAACCUGCCCUUGACUUUGGGAUAACUUCAGGAAACUGGGGCUAAUACCGGAUAGGAGCUCCUGCUGCAUGGUGGGGGUUGGAAAGUUUCGGCGGUUGGGGAUGGACUCGCGGCUUAUCAGCUUGUUGGUGGGGUAGUGGCUUACCAAGGCUUUGACGGGUAGCCGGCCUGAGAGGGUGACCGGCAACAUGGGGACGGGAGUACGGCCCAGCUCCCUCCGGGGGGCAGCGGGGGGGAAUUUUGCAAAAGGGGGGGAAGCCUGAGGCAGAAACCCCGGGUGGGGGAGGACGGCCUUGGGGUGGAAAACCGUUUUCCCCUGGGACGAAGGGGGGGUGCCGGUAAUGGGAAAAGAAGCCCCGGCUAACUCCGU